rnacentral:lncRNA from 1 species
GAUAUGCUUUAAGAUUCUCUUUAAGCAAGGUAAAUAGAGGAAACCGAGUUAGCUAUUUUAAAGAAGUUUAAAAAGGCCAGAAGGAAAUCAGUUUUCACAGGUAAAAUAGCAAACCGUGGUUUCCAUUGUUAAUAUUCACUCCUUUAAAAAGCAAUUUGAAGGGGUGUUCUAUACUUUGGCAUAGGAAACCCAUUCCCUGUCAAGGGGGGGAGAAAAAUGUCAGUCUCUAAUGAACUCGGAG